rnacentral:rRNA from 2 species
UAAUAUGACCACGAGACCGAUAGCGAACAAGUACCGUGAGGGAAAGUUGAAAAGCACUUUGAAGAGAGAGUUCAAGAGUACGUGAAACCGUUUAGGGGUAAACCUGAGAAGCCCGAAAGGUCGAAGGGAGAAAUUCAUUCGCGUUUCGACGACGGCGUCGGACGGGAUCGAGCGGCGGAAAACUUUCGGGUUUUCCGCGCCGUCCGUCCUUCGACUAAACCGGCGACGAACGCGUGCACUUUUCUCCUGGUAGGACGUCGCGAUCCGUUGGGCGUCGGUCUAAGGCUCGCGGUGGAGUCCGCUCGUCGUUCUCGCGAACGCACGGGCGAACCCGCGUGUCCCGGCCGACUCGCUCGACGGUAGACGACAGGUCGAGGGCCGCUCUAGUAGCGUUCGGCUCGCGGCAAGCGCGCCAACUGAGUCGGCGAUCGGACCUAGCGCCGUUCCCGACCUCUGGCGACUGUUGGCCGCGAAGUUCUCGAACAGACCCGAGACCGAUCGGCGACGCUAUAGCUUUGGGUACUUUCAG